GGGGCAUUAGCUCAGCUGGGAGAGCGUUGCCUUCGCAUGGCAGAGGUCAGGGGUUCGAUCCCCCUAUGCUCCACUA
rnacentral:tRNA from 2 species